GGAGGCGAAAGGGGUCCGGUGACUCUCCCGGCCUUCAAAGCCGGCGAUUCGGUCCUUCGCGGCCCGAAUGGUGGGUUCGACUCCCACACGUCUCCGCCA
rnacentral:tRNA from 1 species